rnacentral:rRNA from 2 species
AUCAUGGCUCAGAUUGAACGCUGGCGGCAGGCCUAACACAUGCAAGUCGAGCGGUAACACAGAGAGCUUGCUCUCGGGUGACGAGCGGCGGACGGGUGAGUAAUGUCUGGGAAACUGCCUGAUGGAGGGGGAUAACUACUGGAAACGGUAGCUAAUACCGCAUAACGUCGCAAGACCAAAGUGGGGGACCUUCGGGCCUCAUGCCAUCAGAUGUGCCCAGAUGGGAUUAGCUAGUAGGUGGGGUAAUGGCUCACCUAGGCGACGAUCCCUAGCUGGUCUGAGAGGAUGACCAGCCACACUGGAACUGAGACACGGUCCAGACUCCUACGGGAGGCAGCAGUGGGGAAUAUUGCACAAUGGGCGCAAGCCUGAUGCAGCCAUGCCGCGUGUAUGAAGAAGGCCUUCGUGGUUGUAAAGUACUUUCAGCGAGGAGGAAGGCGUUAAGGUUAAUAACCUUGGCGAUUGACGUUACUCGCAGAAGAAGCACCGGCUAACUCCGUGCCAGCAGCCGCGGUAAUACGGAGGGUGCAAGCGUUAAUCGGAAUUACUGGGCGUAAAGCGCACGCAGGCGGUCUGUCAAGUCGGAUGUGAAAUCCCCGGGCUCAACCUGGGAACUGCAUUCGAAACUGGCAGGCUAGAGUCUUGUAGAGGGGGGUAGAAUUCCAGGUGUAGCGGUGAAAUGCGUAGAGAUCUGGAGGAAUACCGGUGGCGAAGGCGGCCCCCUGGACAAAGACUGACGCUCAGGUGCGAAAGCGUGGGGAGCAAACAGGAUUAGAUACCCUGGUAGUCCACGCCGUAAACGAUGUCGACUUGGAGGUUGUGCCCUUGAGGCGUGGCUUCCGGAGCUAACGCGUUAAGUCGACCGCCUGGGGAGUACGGCCGCAAGGUUAAAACUCAAAUGAAUUGACGGGGGCCCGCACAAGCGGUGGAGCAUGUGGUUUAAUUCGAUGCAACGCGAAGAACCUUACCUACUCUUGACAUCCAGAGAACUUAGCAGAGAUGCUUUGGUGCCUUCGGGAACUCUGAGACAGGUGCUGCAUGGCUGUCGUCAGCUCGUGUUGUGAAAUGUUGGGUUAAGUCCCGCAACGAGCGCAACCCUUAUCCUUUGUUGCCAGCGGUCCGGCCGGGAACUCAAAGGAGACUGCCAGUGAUAAACUGGAGGAAGGUGGGGAUGACGUCAAGUCAUCAUGGCCCUUACGAGUAGGGCUACACACGUGCUACAAUGGCAUAUACAAAGAGAAGCGACCUCGCGAGAGCAAGCGGACCUCAUAAAGUAUGUCGUAGUCCGGAUUGGAGUCUGCAACUCGACUCCAUGAAGUCGGAAUCGCUAGUAAUCGUAGAUCAGAAUGCUACGGUGAAUACGUUCCCGGGCCUUGUACACACCGCCCGUCACACCAUGGGAGUGGGUUGCAAAAGAAGUAGGUAGCUUAACCUUCGGGAGGGCGCUUACCACUUUGUGAUUCAUGACUGGGGUGAAGUCG